ensembl:lncRNA
GUGAGAAGUAGUGCGACUCUGUAACAUUCCUGAGCAGCAGCACUUCCAGGCAGCUCAACUUUAGCGGCUAAACUAACAAUUGACGGUGCCGAUACGUAAUCGUGCCCAGCUGGCUUACAUACGGCAACAUCGCAGUGGAUAUUAGAACUUCAUUGUCUAAAGGAAAUUGGAGGAUUUUCCUGGAGACACGAUGGCAACGUAGCCAGGAGCCAUUCUAUACCAUCUCCACAAUGCUCCGCCGACAGAGCGGUUGUAUAAUUCAUGAGCACCAGCCAGAGCUCACACUGGAAUAAUCAUCCAACAGAAUUCAAGAUGCCGCGGGAGAAAUCAGUCUGAGAAUUUCUCUGACACGAACAACAACAAAACACCAAAAAUAUAUUUUGGAGUUUAUGUCGGCAACCUACAUUAUCCUUUGAUGUUUAAGACACGUGGUCCCUGGUGAUCUCUCUCCGCUAAGAAGACGGGGCUGAGGCGGCCUGGGUUCUGCUGAUGGAAACCCUGGUAUGAUAAACACUGAGGGAUUUCUGUUUUACUCCCCUGUCUUGGUUGAAUUGGGGCCAGAUGAACGCGGCAGCCUCUUCCUGCGCACAGCUGGAUCCAAUAAGGCCGCCUGUCCCGUGGUUCUGGCUGCGCUGUACAUACAUUUAAACAGGACGGAGCAAAGACCCAUUCAUCCGAGUUAGGCGGCUUCAAAUUGGAUUUGAGGAUAUUUUUCAGUAGUUCCUGCAGAAUAAUUUUAUGGACGGAUGAGAGAAUGGAAAGAGAUAGUGAUGGAUACAGUUGCUAAAUGUUUUAUUUGUUUAACAGAAACAGAUUGCAGCAGAAAAUACCAUCUCUAGCGUCCAUUUACUACUGUUAUGGGGACAUUUCGUUUUUGGAUGAGCAUUUGCAUGUAUGUUCCAUACUGAAACACUCCUCUAUCUAUCUGACCAAAUGUCAAACAGCAGAUUGAGUCAUUGUUCCAAAGGCCACAUACUUUUCCAUGCAUCAUCAUGCAUCAUGCUGUAAUGCGCUAAGAGCCAAGGCUAAGAGGAAAACACAUCCGUAUUGUCCUUUUGGUUCAGAGUUAGUAUGAAAGGUAGACCCCCCUCGCAUGAUGCUUUAAGAGAUACUGAUGUCUCACGUAAGAUUGACUUCACUUAUCUUUAGCUCAAAUAAUUUGUGGUCUCAGCUGCGUUUUUCUGUCUGUGCCAAAGUCUGAGCAAUGAGCUGUGUGCAAAUCAUAACCUUUGGCUUCGGUCUUCAGUGUAGACAGCCCACGUCAUCGACCGAGCCGUAUACGAUCUAUAAAUCUCUUCCAACAGCAGCUCUGAUGACGGGAGCGUCUCUGUGUUGACGAGAGAUCUCACAGGAGUGCUAUCAUCUCAGAAAAUCGUCCCUUCUCAUCCGUAGCCAGAAGUAUUCUCUGCUACCUCCACCGAAUGUGGAGAUGAAGAGGGUGUUGAAGGCGUCACUAAAUUACAUGUUAUGUGUUCUUUGUUUUCAUUUUAGAUUUGUUCUUGGACAGGCCAACGAAGGGCUUUGACAAACUUGCUUUCAUCUUACAAGUAUGUCUGAAAGAGCCUCUAGUGGUAAACAUGGACACAACCAUUUGCAGACACCAAUUUUUUCAUGUUUUUUUAUGAAACUUUCUACUGAAAACAAUUUCCUUACAACGAAGAGGCUUUUCCAGGACCAUCUGUUUUGGACGGUCCCAACAAACCGAGUCAGAGUUUAACUGGAGGGUCAGAGUGGGAGCCUGCCAAACGGAGGCUUUGCUGUUGGCCAUCCACGCCGGUUCACCUCCCUCUGGCUCCCCUAAACACAAACACACCGGCUCCAGAUCUUCUGCCUGUAAAUGUGGAGGGAGAGCAGCUCUACUGUACACACACACAAACACACACACCCCUUCAACCUCUUAAUGCGGUACACUGAGGCAAAUUGUGCAGGCAAUGUUCAGCUGUCUCUCUCCCACAUU